CCCUGGCCUACCAGGGCCCUCUGGUCCACCUGGUAGAGCUGGAACCCCAGGACCCAGUAGUGGAGAGAAGGGAGAAGCUGGUGAUCUAGGUCUUCCAGGGCCUAGUGGAGAGAAGGGUUCUCAGGGUGACCCUGGAGUGCCUGGUCAGGCAGGGCAGGGGGGCUUGGCCGGGCUUCCUGGGCCCAUGGGACCGAUUGGGCCACCAGGACCACC